UCUGAAUAGGGCGUUUAGUACGUGGUCGUAGACCCGAAACCAGGUGAUCUACCCAUGUCCAGGGUGAAGUUCAGGUAACACUGAAUGGAGGCCCGAACCCACGCACGUUGAAAAGUGCGGGGAUGAGGUGUGGGUAGCGGAGAAAUUCCAAUCGAACCUGGAGAUAGCUGGUUCUCCCCGAAAUAGCUUUAGGGCUAGCCUUAAGUGUAAGAGUCUUGGAGGUAGAGCACUGAUUGAACUAGGGGUCCUCAUCGGAUUACCGAAUUCAGUCAAACUCCGAAUGCCAAUGACUUAUCCUUAGGAGUCAGACUGCGAGUGAUAAGAUCCGUAGUCAAGAGGGAAACAGCCCAGAUCGCCAGCUAAGGUCCCAAAGUGUGUAUUAAGUGGAAAAGGAUGUGGAGUUGCUUAGACAACUAGGAUGUUGGCUUAGAAGCAGCCACCAUUUAAAGAGUGCGUAAUAGCUCACUAGUCGAGUGACUCUGCGCCGAAAAUGUACCGGGGCUAAAUACACCACCGAAGCUGCGAAUUGAUACCAAUGGUAUCAGUGGUAGGGGAGCGUUCUAAGUGCAGUGAAGUCAGACCGGAAGGACUGGUGGAGCGCUUAGAAGUGAGAAUGCCGGUAUGAGUAGCGAAAGACGGGUGAGAAUCCCGUCCACCGAAUGCCUAAGGUUUCCUGAGGAAGGCUCGUCCGCUCAGGGUUAGUCAGGACCUAAGCCGAGGCCGACAGGCGUAGGCGAUGGACAACAGGUUGAUAUUCCUGUACCACCUCUUUAUCGUUUGAGCAAUGGAGGGACGCAGAAGGAUAGAAGAAGCGUGCGAUUGGUUGUGCACGUCCAAGCAGUUAGGCUGAUAAGUAGGCAAAUCCGCUUAUCGUGAAGGCUGAGCUGUGAUGGGGAAGCUCCUUAUGGAGCGAAGUCUUUGAUUCCCCGCUGCCAAGAAAAGCUUCUAGCGAGAUAAAAGGUGCCUGUACCGCAAACCGACACAGGUAGGCGAGGAGAGAAUCCUAAGGUGUGCGAGAGAACUCUGGUUAAGGAACUCGGCAAAAUGACCCCGUAACUUCGGGAGAAGGGGUGCUUUCUUAACGGAAAGCCGCAGUGAAUAGGCCCAAGCGACUGUUUAGCAAAAACACAGGUCUCUGCGAAGCCGUAAGGCGAAGUAUAGGGGCUGACACCUGCCCGGUGCUGGAAGGUUAAGGAGAGGGGUUAGCGUAAGCGAAGCUCUGAACUGAAGCCCCAGUAAACGGCGGCCGUAACUAUAACGGUCCUAAGGUAGCGAAAUUCCUUGUCGGGUAAGUUCCGACCCGCACGAAAGGUGUAACGAUUUGGGCACUGUCUCAACCAGAGACUCGGUGAAAUUAUAGUACCUGUGAAGAUGCAGGUUACCCGCGACAGGACGGAAAGACCCCGUGGAGCUUUACUGUAGCCUGAUAUUGAAUUUUGGUACAGUUUGUACAGGAUAGGCGGGAGCCAUUGAAACCGGAGCGCUAGCUUCGGUGGAGGCGCUGGUGGGAUACCGCCCUGACUGUAUUGAAAUUCUAACCUACGGGUCUUAUCGACCCGGGAGACAGUGUCAGGUGGGCAGUUUGACUGGGGCGGUCGCCUCCUAAAGUGUAACGGAGGCGCCCAAAGGUUCCCUCAGAAUGGUUGGAAAUCAUUCGUAGAGUGCAAAGGCAUAAGGGAGCUUGACUGCGAGACCUACAAGUCGAGCAGGGACGAAAGUCGGGCUUAGUGAUCCGGUGGUUCCGCAUGGAAGGGCCAUCGCUCAACGGAUAAAAGCUACCCCGGGGAUAACAGGCUUAUCUCCCCCAAGAGUCCACAUCGACGGGGAGGUUUGGCACCUCGAUGUCGGCUCAUCGCAUCCUGGGGCUGUAGUCGGUCCCAAGGGUUGGGCUGUUCGCCCAUUAAAGCGGUACGCGAGCUGGGUUCAGAACGUCGUGAGACAGUUCGGUCCCUAUCCGUCGUGGGCGUAGGAAAUUUGAGAGGAGCUGUCCUUAGUACGAGAGGACCGGGAUGGACGCACCGCUGGUGUACCAGUUGUUCUGCCAAGGGCAUAGCUGGGUAGCUAUGUGCGGAAGGGAUAAGUGCUGAAAGCAUCUAAGCAUGAAGCCCCCCUCAAGAUGAGAUUUCCCAUAGCGUAAGCUAGUAAGAUCCCUGAAAGAUGAUCAGGUUGAUAGGUUCGAGGUGGAAGCAUGGUGACAUGUGGAGCUGACGAAUACUAAUAG
rnacentral:rRNA from 1 species